AUUAUUUUACAAUUUUAUUAUGCUUAAAAUUAUUAUUUAUAAUUUAGAGUAUAGAUUAUUUGAUGAUUGUAUUUGUUAAAUAUGUUUUACUCGAUGUAAGUAAGUCGAUUGACUCGAUACCAACAUUCACGAACAAAAUGACGAGUCGUCUUGAGACGAUCAAAAAGAAGCGGGGGGCAUUCGGACCGAUCCGCUUGACCAAGACGGACGUUAAAUUGUAAGCUGUGUGGUUGUUUAAGGAUAAGAAGUGUUGGAAAUAUACUUAGUUAUUGUUGUAACAAAGCAGGCGUUUAUUAUUAUACACCGAGAAUCGAAUAGAGAGAAUUCAUCGCAUUUCAGAAGCGGGACAAGACCCAAUCUAAGGUAUGGAUACUGAUGAAGCGAUGACUCCCGAAGGCUCGCCUUCUCGUAAUGAUGAAUUUCAGAGAAAGCGUUCACGGUCUUCCUCCAAGGCAGCAGCUAAGUCUAAGAGAGGCAAAAAGCGAUCAAAGAAGAAACGCAAAGAGUCUUCCAGCUCCUCCUCCUCCAACAGUGAGUCACCCCGUAGUUCACGGUGUGCAAGUAAGAGACGAUCCAAGGAAAAAGGUAGUUGGUCUACUGAACAGGUACUGGAUAUAUUUAAUACCCUUCAAGGGCAUAAGUGCAAGACAAGUAAUUUAAAUAAUAAUCUUCUCAAUAAUGUAAUACCAGAAUUGAUCCGUCAAGUAAAACUCAGAAUAUCGACUGUUGGGUUAGGAAAGUAAAUGAAUGUGCUUUAAUCUAUGAAUGGGACGAGAAGCAGACCAUACAUUUUGCUCUGCAGAAACUGUCUGGCUUGGCAAAGAAGUGGUUCGAAGCCCUUCCUAGCGUUGUUUUCAAUUGGUCAGAGUGGUAGGACAAACUUACAAGAGCUUUCCCAAAUGAGAAAAAUUAUGGUCGGCUUCACGAAGAAAUGUUAUCUCGCAGUACUCGUAGUAACGAAAGUUUACGUGAGUACUUCUACGAUAAGUUAACGUUGUUGAACAGAUGUGAAAUAAGAGGCAAAAAGGCCGUCGAUUGUA